UACGUAGGGUGCGAGCGUUGUCCGGAAUUAUUGGGCGUAAAGAGCUCGUAGGCGGUUUGGCAAGUCGGGUGUGAAAACUCCGGGCUCAACUCGGAGACGCCACUCGAUACUGCCAUGACUCGAGUCCGGUAGGGGAGUGCGGAAUUCCUGGUGUAGCGGUGAAAUGCGCAGAUAUCAGGAGGAACACCAAUGGCGAAGGCAGCUCGCUGGGACGUGACUGACGCUGAGACGCGAAAGCGUGGGGAGCAAACAGG
rnacentral:rRNA from 1 species